AGCAGCCGCGGUAAUUCCAGCUCCAAUAGCGUAUAUUAAAGUUGUUGCAGUUAAAAAGCUCGUAGUUGAAUUUCGGGAUCAGCUGAUCGGUCGUGCCUCGGUACGUACUGGUCAAAUUGAUUCCUACCUUCUGACGAACCACGAUGCCAUUAAUUUGAUGUCGCGGGAAAUCAGGACUGUUACUUUGAAAAAUUAGAGUGUUUAAAGCAGGCUCGCGCUUGAAUACAUUAGCAUGGAAUAAUGAAAUAGGACGUUUGAUUCUAUUUUGUUGGUUUCUAGGAUCGACGUAAUGAUUAAUAGGGAUAGUUGGGGGCAUUAGUAUUCAAUUGUCAGAGGUGAAAUUCUUGGAUUUAUUGAAGACUAACUACUGCGAAAGCAUUUGCCAAGGAUGUUUUCAUUAAUCAAGAACGAAAGUUAGGGGAUCGAAGACGAUCAGAUACCGUCGUAGUC
rnacentral:rRNA from 1 species